AAAUAAAAUAAAAUAAAAUAAAAAUCCUAUCUGGAGCUGCCAAAUCCUAGGAACUGGUCCACAAGUUUUGCUACAGAGCUAGCAAGGCUGUCCGCUGCUUCUUGUGUUGAUGCCUCUGCAUAUACACGUAUAACAUCCUCUGUGCCAGAUGGCCGUAUGAAAGAUCGGCCUUGGGGGUAUUUGGCUAUCUCUGCAUUGAUGGCAUCUUGAAUGCCAGGUGGCCUCACAACCAUAGUCUCUGCAUUUGCUGUUACUACAGCAGUUCUGUCUACGACUUUGACCUUAAGCUGUCUGCUUGGUAGAUCCUGAUAAAGCUCAGCCCAGUUAUGUAUGGACCAUCCCAUAUGUUGUAAAAUGGCUUCUACCAAUAGCAAACCACUUAAAGCAUCUCCAACAGCCUGGUUGAUCAGCUUACUAACAGCUAAUAAUCUCAAAGCAGCUUUAUGCUGUUCCAAUUCUUUAUUUUUGGAAGACAACUCAUUAUAUCUGCUUUCCAACCAAGAUAAGAAGCAUUCUGAGAACAAGAUUGUGCCAUGGCCAUUGGCCUCAAAAUAGAUCCCAAUAUCAUACCGAGCAGCUUGCUCAUGCAAGUAUUUCACUCCUGUUGGGGUAAACACAACUUCAAGCCCUAACUGUUUGAGGUAAUCUGUGGAUGCUCCAUUUGCAUAAGCCGUCUGUAUAACACCAAAUCGAGUUUGAUAGUUGUCACCGAUCUUUUCAUCUCCCUCCGUGCGAAGAACACUCAAUUGCUCCUUGAUGAAUACAGCAAACAAAGAUAGUAUCUUGUCACCGUCAACAAGAUCAAUGAUGUUGCUAUUACUUGAUGGCACAGAAAAAUAAACAAGUCGAUCAGCAUCUCCAUCCAAACUUGCACACCUUAUCCCAACAUCCUUAGAGCCAAAUCCUUCUGGAACAACCUUUUCUUUCUGAACAUAAUCAGCGCCAACUCCUUCAUUGAGUAUACCUCCUCCUUUCCCGGAAUUGCGAACCUCAAUAAGCAAACCAUUCAACAUUUUCUUUAAAACUUCAAUUUUUUCUCCACCAACGCCAUUAGCCCCAUCUAUGACCAAUUUGUCAUCUAUCUCCAGGAUUUUUUGUCCAUUUGGAAUCAAAUCAAUCAAGCACCUAAUAAAUCAUAAAAACCUCAAAUGAAGCCAUUUAGCGAUGACCUUAAUUCAUAAACGAUCACCUCUAACCAGGAAAUACACCUAUAUCUCAAACAAACCUGAAUGAACCAGCAAGCUGCUCAUAGUAAUCAACUUCAGUUGCUUUCAUACCCUUAUUUCUAGCACGAACCAUCCAGUGUAGCUGUGGAGUCGUUAAAAUUCCCAUGUCAAUAGCAAGAGCAUCAACAAUUGAAUUGAUUCCCUUCAGUGAAACAAAAAGCACAAUUCAAUUCAGACUAUUUCUCAAAGAGAUGAAUUAAAAGGUUCAAGAUCACAGUUUCAACCCUGUCAAAAAGGAAAAAAUUAGAUGAACACACAUACAUGCGCAAGUUCAUGACAGAUGAGGGGAGGGGUAUACUUGUUUAGCGGCUUCAAGAAGAGAUUCACCACUAGGCCUUGUGUCUCUUCCCAACAAUAUCUCUGCUGACCGCACUCCAUCAAAAGGGAUGUUUUCCUUCUUUACAAAUUCAUCUAUCAACUGAAGAAGAUGUUGGGGAGUGGCAGCAUUGGCGAUAGCAUCAGCGAAAGGUUCCCAGUCUGGAGUGAGCAUACCACCACUUGGGUCAGCAACUUUGAUUCCAUUAUCGCUGGCUUUGUUGUGUGAUGCAGUGAUCAUCAAUCCAAUCACUGAAUGGGUUUUUAGAGAUCUAAGAGCUGCCAAAAUCCCAACUCUAAACACUGUCGAUUGGAGAAGUGAUGCGUCUGCCCUGAAACCAGCUGUACCAUAGGAUAGCCUCACUCCAUGGGGAGGUGGAAAGCGAGAGGAGGAGUUGAGGAUCAGAGAUUUUUGAUGUUCGUCCAUGUCGUUGUUCCCAGGAGACAGUUUGCGUUCUUUUUUUUCUUCAG
rnacentral:misc_RNA from 1 species